CUCACUAGGACUAUUGCUUACAUAUAAGAAUUCAAGCCUAUAUCUUGGUGGAAACAACUUUAGUGGAAAUCUGCCUUCUGAAAUGGUUCAAUCAUCACGUCCUUUGGAUGUUUCGUAUAACCCCUUAGUUACUGGAAUCCUUCCUGACAAUCCUGCUGGUCAGAAG